rnacentral:rRNA from 5 species
GAAUGCUGACAUAAGUAACGAUAAAGCGGGUGAAAAGCCCGCUCGCCGGAAGACCAAGGGUUCCUGUCCAACGUUAAUCGGGGCAGGGUGAGUCGACCCCUAAGGCGAGGCCGAAAGGCGUAGUCGAUGGGAAACGGGUUAAUAUUCCCGUACUUGGUGUUACUGCGAAGGGGGGACGGAGAAGGCUAUGUUGGCCGGGCGACGGUUGUCCCGGUUUAAGCGUGUAGGUGUGUGUUCCAGGUAAAUCCGGUUCACUUUAACACUGAGGCGUGAUGACGAGGCACUACGGUGCUGAAGCAACAAAUGCCCUGCUUCCAGGAAAAGCCUCUAAGCAUCAGGUAACAUCAAAUCGUACCCCAAACCGACACAGGUGGUCAGGUAGAGAAUACCAAGGCGCUUGAGAGAACUCGGGUGAAGGAACUAGGCAAAAUGGUGCCGUAACUUCGGGAGAAGGCACGCUGACACGUAGGUGAAGUGAUUUACUCAUGGAGCUGAAGUCAGUCGAAGAUACCAGCUGGCUGCAACUGUUUAUUAAAAACACAGCACUGUGCAAACACGAAAGUGGACGUAUACGGUGUGACGCCUGCCCGGUGCCGGAAGGUUAAUUGAUGGGGUCAGCGCAAGCGAAGCUCCUGAUCGAAGCCCCGGUAAACGGCGGCCGUAACUAUAACGGUCCUAAGGUAGCGAAAUUCCUUGUCGGGUAAGUUCCGACCUGCACGAAUGGCGUAAUGAUGGCCAGGCUGUCUCCACCCGAGACUCAGUGAAAUUGAACUCGCUGUGAAGAUGCAGUGUACCCGCGGCAAGACGGAAAGACCCCGUGAACCUUUACUAUAGCUUGACACUGAACAUUGAGCCUUGAUGUGUAGGAUAGGUGGGAGGCUUUGAAGUGUGGACGCCAGUCUGCAUGGAGCCGACCUUGAAAUACCACCCUUUAAUGUUUGAUGUUCUAACGUGGACCCGUAAUCCGGGUUGCGGACAGUGUCUGGUGGGUAGUUUGACUGGGGCGGUCUCCUCCUAAAGAGUAACGGAGGAGCACGAAGGUUGGCUAAUCCUGGUCGGACAUCAGGAGGUUAGUGCAAUGGCAUAAGCCAGCUUGACUGCGAGCGUGACGGCGCGAGCAGGUGCGAAAGCAGGUCAUAGUGAUCCGGUGGUUCUGAAUGGAAGGGCCAUCGCUCAACGGAUAAAAGGUACUCCGGGGAUAACAGGCUGAUACCGCCCAAGAGUUCAUAUCGACGGCGGUGUUUGGCACCUCGAUGUCGGCUCAUCACAUCCUGGGGCUGAAGUAGGUCCCAAGGGUAUGGCUGUUCGCCAUUUAAAGUGGUACGCGAGCUGGGUUUAGAACGUCGUGAGACAGUUCGGUCCCUAUCUGCCGUGGGCGCUGGAGAACUGAGGGGGGCUGCUCCUAGUACGAGAGGACCGGAGUGGACGCAUCACUGGUGUUCGGGUUGUCAUGCCAAUGGCACUGCCCGGUAGCUAAAUGCGGAAGAGAUAAGUGCUGAAAGCAUCUAAGCACGAAACUUGCCCCGA